rnacentral:lncRNA from 1 species
ACUGCACAGCAGCUCCCGAGCUGCAGGGAGAACGGGAGUGCACGGGCACCAAACUGCGCCUCUUGGGGGUGCUGCAGCGGAUUUUCUAACAAAUAUUUUCCUCUCCUUUAUUCUAGGAUCUGGAAGAACUGUGCCUCACCUCUGUCUCCCUGCCUCUGUCUGCUCCCUCUACUCCCCAGGCCUUGCUGUCAGCACCUGCAACAGAGCUGUCCCUGCUGUGGUCUGGGGAAAGUUCCAGCCAGGCCCUCUGUGGCACAUCUAUCCCUGGGGUGGGGCAUCCAGGGUAUUAAAUCUACAAAAAUGCAUCCAUUUCACCUCCAAGUCAGCUCUGUGCACACCAAGCCAUGUGCAGGAUAGGCUACCCUAGAGAGCCUGGGUACCCACGCAGCCUUCCACGAAGCCCCACCUACGUGGCUGCUGCAGGUUCUCAUCCUCCUGUGCUCACCGGGAAGGCUGGCAGAUCCACACCGGAAACCAUGGGCUGGGGAGAAGCAGGGCCUUGGUGCUAGAGAGACCUGCCCAAGCAUUCUUCUGCAAGCCCCGAGACAGAGGAGUGAGCAAGCCUCAGGGGCGUGACAGGUGCUCAGGAGAGAGCAGGACACAUGCAGAACCUGGAGAGAGCCAGAGAGGGACCUGCCACAGAGAAGCCCAUCGCCUGCCAGCACUGACGUGGACGUUGGGACAAGGUUUCUGCUGGUGGCCCAGCCCUGGCUGGGAUUCCUCACUCCCACGCCUCAAGCCUGAGAAUCCUUCCAGAAACACAAGGCUGGACCUAUACCUGCCAGGUGGCCGUGGCCUCGGUGUGGGAGCAACAUGGGGAGACCUGGGUCCCUGAGUGGCCAUGACCAUCAACCUGGAGCAAUCAGCUCAGGACUGUUAUGUGGGAGCAACAAUCAUCCAGCUCCUUCAAGCUGCAGCAUCCAGGGGUCUCUUCAUUCCAUUAUGGAUAUAGCCUAAGAAAUGGUGACAGUAAAGGGUCUCAUACAACACGUCCCAUUUUUAUUAAUUUUAAUAAAUAGGGGAAAUUGAAUAUG